GCAAGCGGGCUGAACUCCGGAAGUUCCGGACCGAGUUCCAGGUGCCAGCGGGUCACUUCAGGUGCAGCACGGGGUCUGGCGACAUGGCUCCGUCCCGCCCGGUGCUGUGUCUCUUCGACGUGGACGGGACCCUGACGGCCCCGCGGCAGGACGGGCAGCCCUAGGGUCACCCUGGGAAUGGUCACCAGUCUCCUCGUCCCCUGGUGUACAGGAGGCCAUAUCAGCUUUGAUGUCUUUCCUGAUGGAUGGGACAAGAGGUAUUGCCUGGGACAUGUGGAAAAUGAUGGCUAUAAGACCACUUAUUUCUUUGGAGACAAAACCAUGCCAGGUGGAAACGACCACGAGAUCUUCACAGACCUGAGGACGGUGGACUACACAGUGACGGCACCUGAGGACACACGCAGGAUCUGUGAAGAGCUCUUCCCCUAAUGUCCCUUCCCGUGGGAGGGAGGGAGGCCCAGCUGACAAGUCUGAGAGGGUCAUUCAGUGACCAAACCCCGAUCCCUCCCUCACAUGCCCACAGGACACUUACAGCCAUCCAACCCAGGACAGAAAUUUUCAAACACUUCCUGAAAUGAAGCACCUGCUGAGUGUCAGCUUGGUGGCAGUUUUGAACCAAGGGCACCGUGGCCAUCAGGUGGUAUUAAGCUAAGUGACCAUGUGCACUGUUUCCCCACCUCACUUCCUGUUGGAGAGCCACAGACCUCAGCAUGGCCUGUGCAUAGCUGGCUGGCCAAGUGACAGCUGAGACAAAGGAGUUCACAGCUCAGCUGGCCUGGUUCACAGGUUCGCUCACUAGUCACUACAUAGGGGACAGCCGGUUCUCUGACCAUGGAGACGGGAGGAAAUAGGUACCGACAGGCCCCAGGGAGAACUGAACAGACAUGCAGCCUUUCCCAGCCCUUCCCCCGGGUGCAUGCUCUAAGCCCAGGUUCAGAGAGACUAACUUGGGGUGUCACACCUCACCAAAUAGCCUCCUUACUAGCCUGGCUGGGCUUCCCCAGGCCUUACUUACCUCAGGUUUCUCGGGGACCUGGUGAACACCUCACUCAUUAACAGAGCUGAAGCUGCACUGUUUCUCUGCAGAUCUUUAAAAAAAGAAGUGUGUUGACCCUGGCCCUGACCCAGCCUCUGACCUCGGGGCUGGGAGCAGCCAUGGUGGGGCCUAGGACCCUCACUCCUCCCUUCCAGGUUCUGCAAGCUCCUCCUGAAACUGGAAGGCAUCGCCAGGCCCUGGUCCACAACAGGGUGGAAGACCGCUUUCCAAGACAACGGUUAACAUGUCCCUUUUUAGCAUUGGAAAUGUCGGGACCCACCAGCGCUCUACCACCUGGUGCUGGGGCCCACCAACCCGAAUCCAUGUGCUUUGCACCCCCACACCCCCGUGUUCCCACGAGGUGCUUUCAUCACAGAGGAAUCUGGUUCUCCCCCAAACCUGGCCCUGGGCUUGUCAGUUCUGGAUCAGUCCACCCACCACCCCGCACCACACGGGUGAUGUCUCUGGGCAGUUCUCAGCACAGGCCAUCCCAUGGCAUCUUUCCUUGUUGAAGUAUUUUGCAAAUGAUACUGGAAUGGGCUUGCAAAUGAAAAGUAGCAAAUUAAAGUGAUUUUAUUGUUCCUA